UAAGUCAGUUGGUCACCGAGCCUCAGCUCGAGCGCAACGUUUUAUUGUCGUCUCUAAAAAAUGUUUUAAGUUCUUGAUUUUAUUUUUACCAUUUUUCUGGUAGUCUGUGACGUGUGACACGGACAAGAAUGAAAAGGAAUUUUGAAGGAGCAUUUAGUUGUAUAUUUCGCUUCUUCUUUUUUUUUUGCUGUUGCGACGUCAAUUCUUUUUGUUAUUCAACCGUUGUUUCUGCCUUUGCUUUUGGCGUUCCUAGAGAAGUGGCAGCCGGUCUCACGUCACGCCAUGUUUGAUUGGCUCACGGACAAGGUGCUGGACAUUCAAGCACCAGAAAAUAACCCCAAGAGGCUAAAUGGUUGUCCAAGGGCGGCCAACAACAUUUGGAGACUGAGUUGAUAGUCAAGUGGUAGUGUUGAGAGAAGAAUGGCCACUUUGUGGCAGCCAUUCGAGUUGUCUCCUGUCUUUCUCGACUCCACAACAUGGCCAUCAGUUGGAGAAUCCAGCUGGCCACUUCCUCGAUGAGAUGUUGGAGAAAACAGAAGUUGCCAAAGUUUAUUCCCAAGUCUGGAGGCCGUCUCCAGAGUGCUUGGUGUGGAUGUAAUGAGCAAGUUGCAUUUCAGCUUGCAGGACUGACUCAACUCUAUGAGCAAAUCUCUUCUCGUUUGGGUCUGUGCAAGUGCAAGCUGGCUCGCUUUACACUACUCCAAUUACUACUGACUGCCAACAUUUGGCAGAACACAGCAGCAGUUCACACCUAGACCUCCAGUUUACUGCUUCAUUGGCUUGGGGAACAUUGUGCCAAUGGACGUGGCUUCCCAUGUUCCCUCUGAUUGGAGCCGCCCAUCUCGACUCAUCCGCCAGGAUCCAACAAGCCCUCGACGAAAUCCCUAGGGUUUCGCUUUUUAAGACCACGGUGCCCUUUAAUCGAGACUAAAGCUUUUUACGAGGCUAAUCAAAUUUAAUGGGUCUCCUCCAAAGCUCCUUAUCCAUUAUCCUUACGCCAUUCUGGACUACUACCGACACCGAUUGGAUUUAAUCAGCAACACGACGUGCCUGGAUCGCCAAUAUCUGGUCAAUUGGUCAUGGAUCAACUCUCGGAGAACCUCGGCAUAAUUCUCAAAUCAAUGGCCGACGAAUCAUUGCUCUACGAAUUGUUUCGUUUUGUCGAUCUCAUCGAUCUCGCUACCUUCUCUUAUUAUUCGCCAACGGUUGACAACUAUGAAGACAUGUACUAUCAUCAGAGCCCCUGUGAGUACAGUAAAUAACACUGGGGUUCCCUGGCCCAACUUUUUCGAUUCUUACGAUUCGGGAGGGGUGCCCACACUCCGUCAACUACAACAAUCACCGUUCGUCCAUGAAUUGUACCAUCAACUUGUUCCAGUUCCUCCAGUUAUACUCGACGUCCUGCGACUAGCUUCAAGCCAAGGCCCACCAUAGGCCUCCAUCCACCAGGCCUCGAUCUCCUGGCUCAUAUUGGAAUCUUCCAAUUGUACCCACAGCAGUACUCAUCGGGAAUAUACUCCACUUCCGACAUCCGCCUCCUGUCGACUACCACGGUACCAUCCGGCCGAGUAGCAUUCGUCCAACUCCAAAAAUUCCAUCCACUGCGGCCCGUCCAUAUACUAGACGCCCUUCUCUUUCGAGCCAGACCAGCUACACACCGGAUUUCUGAAGGAAAUAUCGCCUUCCGGCGUCCCGACUUCAACUCCGGAUUCCGCCCUGUGUAUUUUCUCAACGUCUUGAAGACCACGAAAUCUGCGAUUGAUCUCCAUACACACCGCCGCUGCCUUUGUUCAGACAUUUUUGUUUAUUUUUUGACAACACUAAGGAAAUACGAACAUUGGUACAGAGAGAUGCCAAACUUCCGCUAAGAUAUCCAAGUCCCAAUGGGCUACCAUAGAACGCCGAUCUUUUUUUCGGUGUGAUUCGGUGAAGAGUAGCAGAGGAUGUGCUGACGGCAUGCACUCAAGGUGAAAUCUACUGCCACGAAAUUCUAGCUGGUCUCUUUCUUACAGCAUGGUAGAUAAGUCGUAAUCACGGCCACUCGCCAGCGCUUGAGGAAAUGAAACAAUCCCAGCCAUAGCCUUGCCUAACCGCGCCUACCUACCCACUGAUCAUCAUCAACCUCAACCACCCAACGCUAGAAGCUGUCCUGUACCAGAAAAUUAACAGACAUAUUAACCUUGCAAAAAAUAUGCUCAGGAUUCGGACAAAUUUGCGCAAAUUUGUCACUAAAGGCGACUAAAGACGCGUCUGGAUUCAAGUUCCCAUCUUUGGUGUGUUCAAGGUUCAGCAACUCGAAUUGGAUACAGCUCAAAGACAAAAGUUGGAAGAGAAAGUUUCUCAGAUAUGGGCCCAUAAGGAAAUGAACGAGGACACUAAAGCAGUUUACGUUUUUUUUUCAACCUCCCUGGAAUACGGUGCUGCAUACUGUAUCUCAGGACUUGCCUACGACGGAGCAUGAUGUUGUCAAGCGGCCUGACGGUGCAAUAGCGCAAAACUACAUUCGAGCACCGUCAGCCCGACGGUGCAAUAGAAUUUUCGACAUGAUGAGCUGGCGUUUACCUCCAACUACACGUGAUACGCCUACAGGUUGAGAAAGGUCCAGCAUUUGGUUUGCGUCGAGGAGGAAUUAUACGUCAGGAUGAAAUUUUCUAAUAAAUUGACGCUGACAAUUCCGACCUGCCCGGCGCCAUUCUGCAGAGACAGGCGUCAUCCGCCAGCAGUUUGCCUAUCAACUGCGGCGACAACAGCGAACCACACGAAUGGCCCGACAGCAAUACACGGUGGCCCCUUUCGUCAGCCCAUAGCCGGGCAAGAAAUCUCGCCACGUCCUGAAAGAAGGGUUGGAUUAUUUAAAUCUCAAACUGGGCGGAUUUGAUUAUUAAAUUUAAAUCACAGGCUGAAGUCAGCUGUGUAGAUGAUUUCCAAAUUAGGUCUUAAACGACAGUCAUAUUUUUUCAGAUGAUGCUAAUGUAAUCGACAUUCCAAUCGGCCCCUCCUCCUUUUACCCUCCGGUUUACACACAAUCAAAUGUAUUUUUCUUUUUUUUUUUUUUAAAUCUGAUUAUUAUUUUAGAGAGAAUUUGACUUGGGGCAGAGUUGACUGUGUACUUGUGCAGCCUUCCCCCCAUGACCCGUUAGAUGAUAAGAAAUGAAAACAAGAAAUUCUAUUGAUGAUUCCAUUGUUUCUGUACACACAUUUGACUCCUCCCACUAUUUGCUUUUGCAACCCCAUUCAACGACGCUAAGAACCGCGCCGUUGCUUUUUUUCUUUUCCGUGUUCCUUCUGUUUAAUUUCGUUUUUCCUUUCCCGUCAACAACGAAAAAACAUCUCCGUCCUUUUUGCGACGCCCCACAUUCCAUCACACACACACCAGAUUUUAAAAGAAAAGUUACUACAAAAAACAUAUUUUGACAGUGUGCGCGUAGUGAGUAUUUGUGUGCAUCAUGUAGCCCAUUCCAGCAGAAAAAAAGGAAACAAAAAG
rnacentral:lncRNA from 1 species